rnacentral:rRNA from 1 species
GAUGAACGCUAGCGGCAGGCUUAAUACAUGCAAGUCGAGCGGCAACGCAGUGUAGCUGUACCCGGGCCGCGAGCGGCAAACGGGUGCGGAACACGUACGCAACCUACCCAUAACUGUGGAAUAGCCCCCAGAAAGGAGGAUUAAUACAUCGUAACUUACUGAAGCGGCAUGGCUUUAUUAAUAUAGCUGCGGCGGUUUUGGUUGGGCGUGCGUCUGAUUAGGUAGAGGGCGGGGUAACGGACCACCAAGCCUGGGACCAGUAACUGGUGUGGGAGCACGACCAGUCGCACGGGAACAGAGACACGGGCCCGACGCCAAGGAGAGGCAGCAGUAAGGAAGAAUGGGCGAUGAACGUAAGUCUGAAACAGCCAGGCUGCGUGAAGGAUGAAGGGCCUCUGAAUUGUAAACUUCUUUUAAAAGGGACGAAACCUCUUUUUCUUGAGAGACUGACGGUACCAUUAGAAUAAGCACCGGCUAACUCCGUG